rnacentral:rRNA from 1 species
UCUACGGGUGGCUGCAGUGGGGGAUAUUGGACAAUGGGGGGAACCCUGAUCCAGCGACGCCGCGUGAGUGAAGAAGUAUUUCGGUAUGUAAAGCUCUAUCAGCAGGGAAGAAAAGAAUGACGGUACCUGAAUAAGAAGCCCCGGCUAACUACGUGCCAGCAGCCGCGGUAAUACGUAGGGGGCAAGCGUUAUCCGGAUUUACUGGGUGUAAAGGGAGCGCAGACGGCAAUGCAAGCCAGGAGUGAAAGCCCGGGGCCCAACCCCGGGACUGCUCUUGGAACUGCGUGGCUGGAGCGCAGGGUGGGGAAGCGGAAUUCCUGGUGUAGCGGUGAAAUGCGUAGAUAUCAGGAGGAACACCAGGGGCGAAGGCGGCCUGCUGGACUGGAACUGACGUUGAGGCCCGAAAGCGUGGGGAGCAAACAGGAUUAGAUACCCUAGUAGUC